UUGGGUGAAAUCACUGUAGGACCCACAUUUUAGAAAAUGGAAUCCACAUAAAGUGAUGGGACGUACAUUAAUUUCACCCAA
rnacentral:pre_miRNA from 1 species